rnacentral:rRNA from 1 species
GCUCAUUACAACAGCCGUUGUUUCUUGGAUCUUGAUUUACUUGGAUAACUGUGGUAAUUCUAGAGCUAAUACAUGCAACCAAGCUCCAACCUCANGGGAGGAGCGCAUUUAUUAGACCAAGACCAAUCAGGCUUUGCCUGGAAUCUGGUGACUCUGAAUAACUUUGCUGAUCACAUGGUCUUAGUACCGGUGACAUAUCUUUCAAGUGUCUGCCCUAUCAACUUUCGAUGGUAGUUUAUGUGCCUACCAUGGUUGUAACGGGUAACGGAGAAUAAGGGUUCGACUCCGGAGAGGGAGCCUGAGAAAUG